rnacentral:tRNA from 1 species
GCCGGCGUCGCUUAAUCCGGUAGAGCGGCAGUCUCGAAAACUGCUCCCGCAAGGGACUCUCGGUUCAAAGACCAGAAGGCUCAAACUUUCGGUUUGAAAGUCCGGGCGCCGGCG